AUGCAGGUGGCGGACAAUGGCUGGAACCGGUAGUUCAUGCUAGACAGUGCGAGAGGUCAAAGCUUUACUCCCGGAGGUUGAGUUGGCUUCGGUUUAGUUAGUUGGUGGGGUAUGACCUUACCAGGGCAGUGUUCGGUAGUUGUUUUGGGAGGAGAUUCAGCCCCAUUGGGAUUGAGCCACGGCCCAGAUUCUUCCGGGAGCCACCAGUGGGGAAUUUUCCCCAAUGGGGGAAACCCUGACGGAGCAAUACCGCGUGAGGGAGGAAGGCUUUUGGGUGGUAACCUUUUUUUUUCAGGGAAGAAGAUCUGACGGUACCUGAGGAAUCAGCAUCGGCUAACUCCGUGCCAGCAGCCGCGGUAAGACGGAGGAUGCAAGCGUUAUCCGGAAUUAUUGGGCGUAAAGCGUCCGCAGGCGGUUUGGUAAGUCUGUCUUUAAAGCGUGGAGCUUAACUCCAUAAAGGCGAUGGAAACUGCGAGACUAGAGGUCGGUAGGGGUAGAAGGAAUUCCCAGUGUAGCGGUGAAAUGCGUAGAUAUUGGGAAGAACACCAGCAGGCGAAGG
rnacentral:rRNA from 1 species